rnacentral:rRNA from 1 species
UACGGGGGGGGGCAAGCGUUGUUCGGAAUUACUGGGCGUAAAGGGCUCGUAGGCGGCCAACUAAGUCAGACGUGAAAUCCCUCGGCUUAACCGGGGAACUGCGUCUGAUACUGGAUGGCUGGAGGUUGGGAGAGGGAUGCGGAAUUCCAGGUGUAGCGGUGAAAUGCGCAGAUAUCAGGAGGAACACCAAUAGCGAAGGCAGCUCGCUGGGACGGUAUUGACGCUAAGGCGCGAAAGCGUGGGGAGCGAACAGG